rnacentral:rRNA from 1 species
UCAGGAUGAACGCUGGCGGCGUGCUUAACACAUGCAAGUCGAACGAUGGUCCGGUGCUUGCACCGGGGAUUAGUGGCGAACGGGUGAGUAACACGUGAGUAACCUGCCCUUGACUCUGGGAUAAGCCUGGGAAACUGGGUCUAAUACCGGAUAUGACUCCUCAUCGCAUGGUGGGGGGUGGAAAGCUUUUGCGGUUUUGGAUGGACUCGCGGCCUAUCAGCUUGUUGGUGAGGUAAUGGCUCACCAAGGCGACGACGGGUAGCCGGCCUGAGAGGGUGACCGGCCACACUGGGACUGAGACACGGCCCAGACUCCUACGGGAGGCAGCAGUGGGGAAUAUUGCACAAUGGGCGAAAGCCUGAUGCAGCGACGCCGCGUGAGGGAUGACGGCCUUCGGGUUGUAAACCUCUUUCAGUAGGGAAGAAGCGAAAGUGACGGU